AUGAAAUCAAGGAGAGGGACAGAACAAGGGAUGGACAGUGAAACCAAUAUAUGGAAAGAACAAGGGAUGGACAGUCAAACCAAUAUGUGGAAAGAACAAGGGAUGGACAGAGAAACCAAUAUGUGGAAAGAACAAGGGAUGGACAGAGAAACCAAUAUGUGGAAAGAACAAGGGAUGGACAGAGAAACCAAUAUAUGGAAAGAACAAGGGAUGGACAGAGAAACCAAUAUGUGGAAAGAACAAGGGAUGGACAGAGAAACCAAUAUAUGGAAAGAACAAGGGAUGGACAGAGAAACCAAUAUGUGGAUAGAACAAGGGAUGGACAGUCAAACCAAUAUAUGGAAAGAACAAGGGAUGGACAGAGAAACCAAUAUGUGGAAAGAACAAGGGAUGGACAGAGAAACCAAUAUAUGGAAAGAACAAGGGAUGGACAGAGAAACCAAUAUGUGGAAAGAACAAGGGAUGGACAGUGAAACCAAUAUGUGGAAAGAACAAGGGAUGGACAGAGAAACCAAUAUAUGGAAAGAACAAGGGAUGGACAGAGAAACCAAUAUGUGGAAAGAACAAGGGAUGGACAGAGAAACCAAUAUAUGGAAAGAACAAGGGAUGGACAGAGAAACCAAUAUGUGGAAAGAACAAGGGAUGGACAGAGAAACCAAUAUAUGGAAAGAACAAGGGAUGGACAGAGAAACCAAUAUGUGGAUAGAACAAGGGAUGGACAGUCAAACCAAUAUAUGGAAAGAACAAGGGAUGGACAGAGAAACCAAUAUGUGGAAAGAACAAGGGAUGGACAGAGAAACCAAUAUAUGGAAAGAACAAGGGAUGGACAGAGAAACCAAUAUGUGGAAAGAACAAGGGAUGGACAGUGAAACCAAUAUGUGGAAAGAACAAGGGAUGGACAGAGAAACCAAUAUAUGGAAAGAACAAGGGAUGGACAGAGAAACCAAUAUGUGGAAAGAACAAGGGAUGGACAGAGAAACCAAUAUAUGGAAAGAACAAGGGAUGGACAGAGAAACCAAUAUAUGGAUAGAACAAGGGAUGGACAGAGAAACCAAUAUGUGGAAAGAACAAGGGAUGGACAGAGAAACCAAUAUGUGGAAAGAACAAGGGAUGGACAGUGAAACCAAUAUGUGGAAAGAACAAGGGAUGGACAGAGAAACCAAUAUGUGGAAAGAACAAGGGAUGGACAGAGAAACCAAUAUAUGGAAAGAACAAGGGAUGGACAGAGAAACCAAUAUGUGGAAAGAACAAGGGAUGGACAGAGAAACCAAUAUGUGGAAAGAACAAGGGAUGGACAGAGAAACCAAUAUAUGGAAAGAACAAGGGAUGGACAGAGAAACCAAUAUAUGGAAAGAACAAGGGAUGGACAGAGAAACCAAUAUAUGGAAAGAACAAGGGAUGGACAGUCAAACCAAUAUGUGGAAAGAACAAGGGAUGGACAGAGAAACCAAUAUGUGGAUAGAACAAGGGAUGGACAGAGAAACCAAUAUAUGGAAAGAACAAGGGAUGGACAGAGAAACCAAUAUGUGGAUAGAACAAGGGAUGGACAGAGAAACCAAUAUGUGGAAAGAACAAGGGAUGGACAGAGAAACCAAUAUGUGGAAAGAACAAGGGAUGGACAGUCAAACCAAUAUGUGGAAAGAACAAGGGAUGGACAGAGAAACCAAUAUGUGGAAAGAACAAGGGAUGGACAGAGAAACCAAUAUAUGGAAAGAACAAGGGAUGGACAGAGAAACCAAUAUAUGGAAAGAACAAGGGAUGGACAGAGAAACCAAUAUAUGGAAAGAACAAGGGAUGGACAGAGAAACCAAUAUGUGGAAAGAACAAGGGAUGGACAGAGAAACCAAUAUGUGGAUAGAACAAGGGAUGGACAGAGAAACCAAUAUGUGGAAAGAACAGUGA
rnacentral:lncRNA from 8 species